rnacentral:rRNA from 1 species
CUUGGUGGUUAGAGCGAGGUGGACCCACCCGUUCCCAUCCCGAACACGGAAGUGAAACGCCUCAGCGCAGACGAUACUGAGGAGGUAGCUCCUUGUGAAAAAUAUGCCACCGCCAAGA